GAUGAACGCUGGCGGCGUGCCUAAUACAUGCAAGUCGAACGAACAGAUAAGGAGCUUGCUCCUUUGACGUUAGCGGCGGACGGGUGAGUAACACGUGGAUAACCUACCUAUAAGACUGGGAUAACUUCGGGAAACCGGAGCUAAUACCGGAUAACAUAUUGAACCGCAUGGUUCAAAAGUGAAAGGCGGCUUUGCUGUCACUUAUAGAUGGAUCCGCGCCGUAUUAGCUAGUUGGUAAGGUAACGGCUUACCAAGGCAACGAUGCGUAGCCGACCUGAGAGGGUGAUCGGCCACACUGGAACUGAGACACGGUCCAGACUCCUACGGGAGGCAGCAGUAGGGAAUCUUCCGCAAUGGGCGAAAGCCUGACGGAGCAACGCCGCGUGAGUGAUGAAGGUCUUCGGAUCGUAAAACUCUGUUAUCAGGGAAGAACAAAUGUGUAAGUAACUGUGCACAUCUUGACGGUACCUGAUCAGAAAGCCACGGCUAACUACGUG
rnacentral:rRNA from 1 species